ACUAACCUAUGUAUCUAAUGUCCCUCGGGACUAUGGACAUAAACGCGCUCGUCAUAAGCGGAUCGGACCCGGGGGCGGUACCCGGCGGCUCCACCAAGAACCCUCGUUGGGGGACAAGGGGGCCGAAACAGGAUCGACGAACGUGUAAAGGAGUGGCUUUGUCCCGGUGAGAUA
rnacentral:tmRNA from 1 species